ACAACAGCGUCGCUUUCGGGUGUUAUGCCACUUUUGAAACACGUGCGCGAAACAGACUUGGUAGAAAUGUUUAAAAUAGUGCACCAUAACACAGAAGGGUUAACCACUCACAUCGACGACAUCAAAUGCCAUCACGAAUUGAGACUUGCAGAUGUUUUGUGUCUAACCGAAACUCAUCUGUCAGGCUCAAUUGUUACCGACAGUAUAGCAUUAGAGGGGUACAGAGUGUUUCUACGCAACAGGCACCUCUGUUACAUGCGUUUUCCUGAAUUGGCCAAAAAAGAAGGGGGGGGGAGUUGCAAUUUACUGCAAAUCCCAUGUUCACGCAGAAGUGUUUCAGCAUAUACCAAAUGUCACUGACCUUGAAUUUUUAGUGGUCAAAAUUGAAGCACCAGUAAAAUUAAUGAUAGCAGCUAUAUACAGGCCUCCUGUUUAUAGUAUCAAAAAUUUCUUGCCAAACAUGGAAAGGCUCUUAGAUUAUUUGCGCGUUGUAUGUCCACACCCAAUCAUUGUUUGCGGAGACUUCAAUGAAAAUCAUUUAGGUAAUAUAAAGAAACCUGUUUUAGAGAUGUUUCAGUCAAAGGGCUAUAUGCAGCUUAUCACUGCUGCCACCACGGAAAAAAAUACACUUCUCGAUCACAUUUAUGUUUGUCAGCCAAAUGUCUGCUUCCAAUCAGGCGUACUUCAAACAUAUUACAGUUACCAUAACCCCAUUUAUUGCAUAGUUUAGUAAGACAUUAUAGUUUUGACUUUGCGCGAUGAAAGCUUGCGUUCUUUUUCUGACCUGCUGAGCGGGCUGUUCCAAGCCAGCAGUCAGCCGUUUUCUUAAGUUAUAGUAACAUUGCGAUCAGGUACACUAUGGGCUUUUAUUUAUUAAACUACAUAAUCAUGCAGAAAUAGCAACAGUUAAUACUGUGUUCGGUUUCUGACCUGCUGAGCGGGCUGUUCCAAGCCAGCAGUCAGCCGUUAGUUUAAAUCACACAAAUAUUGCGAUCAGUCACACUAUGGGCUCUUAUUUAUUUAAAUACUUAAUAAUGCAGAAAUAGCAACAGUUGAUACUAUGUCCGGUUUCUGACCUGCUGAGCGGGCUGUUCCAAGCCAGCAGUCAGCCGUUAGUUUAAAUCACACAAAUAUUGCGAUCAGUCACACUAUGGGCUCUUAUUUAUUUAAAUACUUAAUAAUGCAGAAAUAGCAACAGUUAAUACUAUGUCCGGUUUCUGACCUGCUGAGCGGGCUGUUCCAAGCCAGCAGUCAGCCGUUAGUUUAAAUCACACAAAUAUUGCGAUCAGUCACACUAUGGGCUCUUAUUUAUUUAAAUACUUAAUAAUGCAGAAAUAGCAACAGUUGAUACUAUGUCCGGUUUCUGACCUGCUGAGCGGGCUGUUCCAAGCCAGCAGUCAGCCGUUAGUUUAAAUCACACAAAUAUUGCGAUCAGUCACACUAUGGGCUCUUAUUUAUUUAAAUACUUAAUAAUGCAGAAAUAGCAACAGUUAAUACUAUGUCCGGUUUCUGACCUGCUGAGCGGGCUGUUCCAAGCCAGCAGUUAGCCGUUAGUUUAAAUCACACAAAUAUUGCGAUCAGUCACACUAUGGGCUCUUAUUUAUUUAAAUACUUAAUAAUGCAGAAAUAGCAACAGUUGAUACUAUGUCCGGUUUCUGACCUGCUGAGCGGGCUGUUCCAAGCCAGCAGUUAGCCGUUAGUUUAAAUCACACAAAUAUUGCGAUCAGUCACACUAUGGGCUCUUAUUUAUUUAAAUACUUAAUAAUGCAGAAAUAGCAACAGUUAAUACUAUGUCCGGUUUCUGACCUGCUGAGCGGGCUGUUCCAAGCCAGCAGUCAGCCGUUAGUUUAAAUCACACAAAUAUUGCGAUCAGUCACACUAUGGGCUCUUAUUUAUUUAAAUACUUAAUAAUGCAGAAAUAGCAACAGUUGAUACUAUGUCCGGUUUCUGACUUGCUGAGCGGGCUGUUCCAAGCCAGCAGUCAGCCGUUAGUUUAAAUCACACAAAUAUUGCGAUCAGUCACACUAUGGGCUCUUAUUUAUUUAAAUACUUAAUAAUGCAGAAAUAGCAACAGUUGAUACUAUGUCCGGUUUCUGACCUGCUGAGCGGGCUGUUCCAAGCCAGCAGUCAGCCGUUACCUUCAAACACACAGACAUUAGCUGUUAAAAUGUAUGCUGCUCUGGAAAAUUAAACAAAUAAAAAAAAUAUAGGCAGUCAAGUCAUUGUUCUAGGUGUAUAAAACAACUAGUGUUCGGUUUCUGACCUGCUGAGCGGGCUGUUCCAAGCCAGCAGUCAGCCGUUAUCUUCAAACACACCAACAAUGCAAUUUGCUUAGGCAAUGGGCUCCAUAACUUAUAGCACAACUGACUAAUAGUUUUCGGUUUCUGACCUGCUGAGCGGGCUGUUCCAAGCCAGCAGUCAGCCGUUACCUUCAAACACACAGACAUUAGCUGUUAAAAUGUAUGCUGCUCUGGAAAAUUAAACAAAUAAAAAAAAUAUAGGCAGUCAAGUCAUUGUUCUAGGUGUAUAAAACAACUAGUGUUCGGUUUCUGACCUGCUGAGCGGGCUGUUCCAAGCCAGCAGUCAGCCGUUAUCUUCAAACACACCAACAAUGCAAUUUGCUUAGGCAAUGGGCUCCAUAACUUAUAGCACAACUGACUAAUAGUUUUCGGUUUCUGACCUGCUGAGCGGGCUGUUCCAAGCCAGCAGUCAGCCGUUACCUUCAAACACACAAACAUUAGCUGUUACAAUGUAUGCUGCUCUGGAAAAUUAAACAAAUAAAAAAAAUAUAGGCAGGCAAGUCAUUGUUCUUGGUGUAUAAAAACAACUAGUGUUCGGUUUCUGACCUGCUGAGCGGGCUGUUCCAAGCCAGCAGUCAGCCGUUAUCUUCAAGCACACCAACAAUGCAAUUUGCUUAGGCAAUGGGCUCCAUAACUUGUAGCACAACUGACUAAUAGUAUUCGGUUUCUGACCUGCUGAGCGGGCUGUUCCAAGCCAGCAGUCAGCCGUUACUUUGAAUCACACAAACAUUAGCUGUUACAAUGUAUGUUACUCUGGCAGACAAACAAAAAAAUAUAUAGGCAGGCAAGUCAUUGUUCUUGGUGUAUAAAACAACUAGUGUUCGGUUUCUGACCUGCUGAGCGGGCUGUUCCAAGCCAGCAGUCAGCCGUUAUCUUCAAACACACCAACAAUGCAAUUUGCUUACACAAUGGGCUCCAUAACUUGUAGCACAACUGACUAAUAGUAUUCGGUUUCUGACCUGCUGAGCGGGCUGUUCCAAGCCAGCAGUCAGCCGUUACUUUGAAUCACACAAACAUUAGCUGUUACAAUGUAUGUUACUCUGGCAGACAAACAAAAAAAAUAUAGGCAGGCAAGUCAUUGUUCUUGGUGUAUAAAACAACUAGUGUUCGGUUUCUGACCUGCUGAGCGGGCUGUUCCAAGCCAGCAGUCAGCCGUUAUCUUCAAACACACCAACAAUGCAAUUUGCUUACACAAUGGGCUCCAUAACUUGUAGCACAACUGACUAAUAGUAUUCGGUUUCUGACCUGCUGAGCGGGCUGUUCCAAGCCAGCAGUCAGCCGUUACUUUGAAUCACACAAACAUUAGCUGUUACAAUGUAUGUUACUCUGGCAGACAAACAAAAAAAAUAUAGGCAGGCAAGUCAUUGUUCUUGGUGUAUAAAACAACUAGUGUUCGGUUUCUGACCUGCUGAGCGGGCUGUUCCAAGCCAGCAGUCAGCCGUUAUCUUCAAGCACACCAACAAUGCAAUUUGCUUACACAAUAGGCUCCAUAACUUCUAGCACAACUGACUAAUAGUAUUCGGUUUCUGACCUGCUGAGCGGGCUGUUCCAAGCCAGCAGUCAGCCGUUACCUUAAGUUAUAAUAACAAUGUGAGCUGUUAUGUUAUGGGCUGUUAUUCAUUUCAAAUACUACAUAACAGAUAUAGCAACAGUGACUGGUAGUGUUCCGUUUCUGACCUGCUGAGCGGGCUGUUCCAAGCCAGCAGUCCGAACGCAAAAUGCUUGUUUGUCACUUUAACUGACUUUUCCCAGCCUCUUUUUUGGAAGAGAGCAGUCUUUUUCUAACUGUGUUGCAGGUCUGCCAAGCCCCUCUGUGACAGCCUGGAUCAGCCACACCCGCACUUCAUCCAUACAGCUCAGCUUGUCCAUGUACGAAGACGCCUUGCAGGCACAAAAAUGAAGAAGAUGACACGCUCAAAACCAAGAAGACCAAUGGGCAGCUGUCAUGAGGACUCCAGCCACCGGAGCGCUGAGCAUCUAAAUAGGACAUGAAGACACAGGGCACGACAGCCGAGGAGACUGAAGAUGGCCAGGGAGAACAACGCCGGCUCUACUGAGGAAACAAAACAGCAACAAAUGAAGAUGUUCAGAGUCUAGAUGCCGCAGAAGACUCAAGAAGAAGACAACCAAGGAGAGCAACAAGAGCUCCAGUGAGGACUUUGUAAUUUUGUGGCACAGAGUUCAGUUGGUCCUGUGCAUGGUCAUAGUAAGUUGCCGUUGUUCAGUCCCCAGUUAGGCUUAAGAGCGGGUUCCCUUUGGAACUCGUUUGGGGGGGGGUUGUUAGUGUGGUGCGAACGUGGUUAGAGCAGUUGUCUCGGGAGCACAUCCGAAGCUGCAGGUGGGUCGCCAUUUUAUGGUUGCUUUACCGGGCUAUCGGGCUACAGUGCAUAAGUACCCGCCACAAGUAGCGCCUGAAGACUAGGGAGGAGCUUAGUUAGAUUCUGGUUUGGCAGCUAGGAGGACAGGGCUUCAGUGAUAUUUUGGCUGUGCAUUUGGGCUGAUUGAGCAUGUUUUGGUGUCACUGAGAGAACUUAGAUUUGUGUCUUGUUAAUCUUUGUGUUGCUCUUCUACUGUAAAUAAAUUUUAUUCCUCACUAAACAUUUGGUGUUUCAGCAGCCAUUAUUUCUUUUAUUUACUUUUUCUUGGAUCCAUUUUGUAGAGGUAAAUGUUUUUUGGUAAAC